ACAGGCGAGUGCCCUGCGGCCUCUGCCCGACACGGACCCUGACGUACUUCCCCAACGCCAGGUGCCGUGCUUCGGACAGAGACCUCGGGGCAUUGGCCGCCGAUU
rfam:Nocardia nova SH22a, complete genome.